rnacentral:rRNA from 1 species
UACGGAGGGGGCUAGCGUUGUUCGGAAUUACUGGGCGUAAAGCGCACGUAGGCGGAUAUUUAAGUCAGGGGUGAAAUCCCAGAGCUCAACUCUGGAACUGCCUUUGAUACUGGGUAUCUUGAGUAUGGAAGAGGUAAGUGGAAUUCCGAGUGUAGAGGUGAAAUUCGUAGAUAUUCGGAGGAACACCAGUGGCGAAGGCGGCUUACUGGUCCAUUACUGACGCUGAGGUGCGAAAGCGUGGGGAGCAAACAGG